AAACGUCCUCGAUCCGAUACUCCACCAUGUCCUUAGAAGCAAGAACUCUUGUCAAGAUACAGACGUGAGAGGGAAGACGCAAAUCCCAGGCUGAACAAUAUCAGUGAGGAUGAACAUAGGCAAUUUAAAAAAAAAAUGCGUCCAUCUUGGCGCAGUGAUACCAGACAGAAUGGAUCAGAGAGAAACACACAGACGCAGAGCCGUCAGAACCUAAAGAACCACACGUCAGCGACAUGGUCUCUCCUGCAGGCUGAUAUGAGAGCUACGCUUGAGAACGGUGACCUGCUGAUGCCCCAGAACAGAUCCUGUGUGCCUGGAUCACAGAGUCAUAUACCUCGGUUGCUGUGGGGGAAAUGGUAAACCUGGAAGCCAAGCUCAUCUUACUAUUUAUGACUCAAAGCCUCCUCUGGAUUGCAAGGGGGAUGUGAUGCAUAAACCUGCCCAGUGGAAUGCGUCACAUUAAAAUAAAUGAAUCCUUCCAUUUCAUGGGGAAAUCUCA